AUCAUGGCUCGGAACGAACGCUGGCGGCAGGCUUAACACAUGCAAGUUGAACGGGAUUUGUGUGGUGCUUGCACCAUAUAAUGAGAGUAGCGCACUGGUGAGUAACACGUGGGAACGUACCUUUUGGUGGGGGACAACAUCUGGAAACGGAUGCUAAUACCGCAUAAGACCUGAGGGUGAAAGAUUUAUCGCCGAAAGAACGGCCCGCGGAAGAUUAGGCAGUUGGUGGGGUAAAGGCCUACCAAACCUACGAU
rnacentral:rRNA from 1 species